CUAGUAAAAACAAGCCAAAAAAAAAAAAANNNNNNNNNNGGGGGGGGACUCUUAACCUUCAGGCUCCAGCCCAGGACGGAGAGCCUCCUGAAAGCCCUGGUUUCAAAGAAAGCAGAUUGCCGGGAGGCUUUAAAAAAGGCCUGGAAGCAGGAGCCCAAGUAUUUGCUGUCUGAGUAUUGCGAGUGGCUCCCCCAGGCCAUGCACAAGGAAGUCUCCAGACUUUGGCCCCUGUCCAGACCGUGAGCCUCCAGAACCCCCACCAGCUUCUGGCUUUUCCUGUGGCACCUGGCCUCUUCCCGAAGGACUCAGCGCCUAUACCCCCGGCACAGAGCGGGAAUCCUCUUGGGUGGCCCUAGCGUGCUCCAAGGAGGCAGAUCUAAUCCUCCAAAGCCAAGCUCCAUCUCCUGCCUUCGUGACAAAGCCAGCAGUAAUCCUGGAUUUUCUGGUCUUUUUUAGUAGUGUCAUCACUGCCUCGUGGGCUGGGCCCGUAGACUGUGUCACCUCCCCAGCACCUUCUGGUUUUUCCCCUCUAUUCUUGCCUCCUGCCUUCCUGGGCUCCCUGUGGCUGUUUUCUUCCCUCGCCCGGGCGUCCUUCCCUCGUCUGCCACAGGGGUCUUUCUAUCCCCAGAUCUGUGCAGGUCACUGUCCUCCUCUGGAAGCACUGGGGCCCACAUUGUCCGUAAGAGGGAGACAGACUCCCUUCUUUGCUAUUUCAGGCCUUCACAGUUGGGCCCGGCCCCGCCUGUGUCUCCAGAAUGGUGAAAUGAUUUGGUCCUGGGCUCUUUCCAGCAGUGACAUGCUGUCUGAUUUCUGCCUCCCCUCCUCAAUGACAUCAACCACACCACCAUGCCCGGAUGCCUUCCUCCUUCACUGAUCUUUGAGAGCCCCUCAAUCCUAUUAAGGUUCUGGUGCCACCACCUUCCAGAGAACUUUCCUAAUUACCUGGGUUUACUCCCACCCUGUCCUGUCCCCCGCCGCCACUUCACUGGAUGUUGUAUAUAGUCUGCAUUUACUGGACCGUGAACAUCUUGUACCCCUCAGGUGCAUUGUAAGCCUCUUGAGGGCAGGGACUACCUCACUUUUAUACUAGCGCAGUGUCUGUUUUGAACUGAAACUUUGUCCUUUUCUUAUUAAAUUAUUUUUUUUUAUUUCUAACUUCAAAAUAAGCAUUUCUAUCUGCCUUCCUGACUGCACGGGACUGAGUAUUCCUCUCCUGUCCUCUCCCCUUUUCCACUCCCUUAGACCUAAUCUCUUUGAGCGCUAGGGGCACAUUUCACACUUGAUUGAAUUCCCGAGUCCCUUGCAUAGACAGGCCCUCAAUAAAUUUCUUUAGCUCAUCCUUCCCUCCCA
rnacentral:lncRNA from 1 species